GAUUCGGUCAGCGGCGGACGGGUGAGUAACACGUGGGCAACCUGCCCGCAAGACCGGGAUAACUCCGGGAAACCGGAGCUAAUACCGGAUAACACCGAAGACCGCAUGGUCUUCGGUUGAAAGGCGGCCUUUGGGCUGUCACUUGCGGAUGGGCCCGCGGCGCAUUAGCUAGUUGGUGAGGUAACGGCUCACCAAGGCGACGAUGCGUAGCCGGCCUGAGAGGGUGACCGGCCACACUGGGACUGAGACACGGCCCAGACUCCUACGGGAGGCAGCAGUAGGGAAUCUUCCGCAAUGGGCGAAAGCCUGACGGAGCGACGCCGCGUGAGCGAAGAAGGCCUUCGGGUCGUAAAGCUCUGUUGUGAGGGACGAAGGAGCGCCGUUCGAAGAGGGCGGCGCGGUGACGGUACCUCACGAGAAAGCCCCGGCUAACUACGUGCCAGCAGCCGCGGUAAUACGUAGGGGGCGAGCGUUGUCCGGAAUUAUUGGGCGUAAAGCGCGCGCAGGCGGUCUCUUAAGUCUGAUGUGAAAGCCCACGGCUCAACCGUGGAGGGUCAUUGGAAACUGGGGGACUUGAGGGCAGGAGAGGAGAGCGGAAUUCCACGUGUAGCGGUGAAAUGCGUAGAGAUGUGGAGGAACACCAGUGGCGAAG
rnacentral:rRNA from 1 species